rnacentral:rRNA from 1 species
UACAGAGGGGGCAAGCGUUGUUCGGAAUUACUGGGCGUAAAGGGCGCGUAGGCGGCCUUCUAAGUCGAACGUGAAAUCCCCGGGCUCAACCCGGGAACUGCGUCCGAUACUGGAAGGCUUGAAUCCGGGAGAGGGAUGUGGAAUUCCAGGUGUAGCGGUGAAAUGCGUAGAUAUCUGGAGGAACACCGGGUGGCGAAGGCGACAUCCUGGACCGGUAUUGACGCUGAGGCGCGAAAGCCAGGGGAGCAAAGCGGG